UACGGAAGGGGCAAGCGUUGUUCGGAAUUACUGGGCGUAAAGGGCUCGUAGGCGGCCAACUAAGUCAGACGUGAAAUCCCUCGGCUUAACCGGGGAACUGCAUCUGAUACUGGAUGGCUUGAGUUCGGGAGAGGGAUGCGGAAUUCCAGGUGUAGCGGUGAAAUGCGCAGAUAUCAGGAAGAACACCCGUGGCGAAGGCGGCUCUCUGGGACGGUACUGACGCUGAGACGCGAAAGCGUGGGGAGCGAACAGG
rnacentral:rRNA from 1 species